AAAGUUAAAAGUUGCCAUUGCAGUUACUGUCGGACCAAAGUGACCCCUGAGAACUCUCCACAUUUGUAAAACGGACUGAAAGGUUCAGUGGCGUUUCCCACCUGGAACAGGACUAGUAAUGCUUUGAACAUGAAGACAUGACUGUCCCCUGUGAGGAACUGUCAUGGGAAUGAGGCGAUAGGACUGGUUGAAGGAAAUGCUAAGAAGCUCUCUCCUUUGUGGACUGAGGGACCAGUGAUGGUUCUGCUUCAACACCAGAGGGGUGCAAUCCCAGCAGAAAAGGAACACUGUCUCUAAUGUUGCAACAAAGUAACCAGCAUGAAGUUAGCAAGAAGAAAUCACGGUUGCAGCUGCUGAACACUGAUCCCUACCUGCUUUAAAUUUAGAUCCAGAACGGAGCCGGCACAGUGACUUAUGUCACUCCCACUGGCUUAAGAGAACGACAUAUAGACAAGAUGCUACCUCCCAUGGAAAGGCCCCUAUACAUAAAGUCACUUUAUUUCUCUGUCACUUCCCUGAAAAUAAUUUAUGUAAUUAUGCUGUUAAUGAAGUCUAACAAC
rnacentral:lncRNA from 1 species